rnacentral:piRNA from 1 species
UUUCAAUAAACUUAUGCCUGC